rnacentral:rRNA from 1 species
UACGUAGGGUGCAAGCGUUAAUCGGAAUUACUGGGCGUAAAGCGUACGCAGGCGGCUAUGUAAGACAGGUGUGAAAUCCCCGGGCCUAACCUGGGAACUGCAUUUGUGACUGCAUGGCUAGAGUUUGUCAGAGGGGGGUGGAAUUCCACGUGUAGCAGUGAAAUGCGUAGAUAUGUGGAGGAACACCGAUGGCGAAGGCAGCCCCCUGGGAUGUGACUGACGCUCAUGUACGAAAGCGUGGGGAGCAAACAGG